GUUGCAAGCUUGAUGAAGCAUUUCGGAUGUAAAUUACACAACUCCCCGAGAGCGCAAAACCGUGUGGAUAUCUCCGUUGCCUUCCUUCUGAUCCGGCUC
rfam:Diplodia corticola strain CBS 112549 scaffold78, whole genome shotgun sequence.